CUGUGGUGAAACAAGCAGGUGAGGAGUGUUUUUCUUUAUAGGAAAAAACAAAAGGAGACGGCAGAGUUUGUGAGCCAAUCGCACAAUGCCUUCAGAAGAUCAACGAGGCGCUCAACGUGUCCUCCUUGACAGCAAUGGUGUCCAGACUAGAGAUGAUUGCCAAACAAAGAGGAUUGGCGUCAC